rnacentral:rRNA from 1 species
CCUACGGGCGGCUGCAGUCGAGAAUCAUUCACAAUGGGGGAAACCCUGAUGGUGCGACGCCGCGUGGGGGAAUGAAGGUCUUCGGAUUGUAAACCCCUGUCAUGUGGGAGCAAAUUAAAAAGAUAGUACCACAAGAGGAAGAGACGGCUAACUCUGUGCCAGCAGCCGCGGUAAUACAGAGGUCUCAAGCGUUGUUCGGAAUCACUGGGCGUAAAGCGUGCGUAGGCUGUUUCGUAAGUCGUGUGUGAAAGGCGCGGGCUCAACCCGCGGACGGCACAUGAUACUGCGAGACUAGAGUAAGGGAGGGGGAACCGGAAUUCUCGGUGUAGCAGUGAAAUGCGUAGAUAUCGAGAGGAACACUCGUGGCGAAGGCGGGUUCCUGGACAUUAACUGACGCUGAGGCACGAAGGCCAGGGGAGCGAAAGGGAUUAGAUACCCGAGUAGUC